rnacentral:lncRNA from 1 species
GCUCCAUUAACAGGCAUGUAUAUUGAUUGUGCAAGCGAGAUUUUUUUGGAGUGAGGCACAGUUUCAGGAGACAGCCUUCAAAAAUACUGAUAGAAGUGUGACAGAAUCACCCAUAAGAUAAUCUUGCGCAUAGAGAAAUGCGUAUUUAAACAAUAGCCAGAAGACUGUUGUGAACACUAUUUAGAGUUUACCUUGAGUGGCUUUGCCACUUUUUGUACAGUACUUAAUAUGGAGGAGACAGUGUAUCUAGUUGUCUUAGAAAUAUUUUUGCAAAAUGUUUUCUGAGUAUUCUUUUCCAUGAGGCAAAUAGAUUUUUUCAUGUAGAUUAUUAGAUGAUUAUCUUCAGCAGUGAGCCAUGGAGUGAAAUUGUGGUUUUAGAAAGCAAACUGCAGCAGUAUUUAACAUUUUCUAUAAAGACAAGUGGAACUUUCAGCUCAGGAGGGACUCAUUCCUGCACUCAUGCUUCUUUCCAGAUCAAUUUUGUUUUCAGUACUUCUGUAUUCUAAAAGCUGCACAGGUGAUGGGGUUUUGGCACAAACUGAAAGUGUAAUCAUUUUGAUGAAUUUUAGUCAUGCGUUGGGGAUGACUGCUAAAUAAGAGCCUCAUCCAAUUGCCCACCUUCUAUUCAGGAGCAUGAAGAGCCAAGGAGAAAGAAUGUUGGAUUUAGACAUGGCAGUGCAGACACCCAAACCAGCACUCCCCUCCCUACAAGUAGAAGUGGGGCAACAUCUCCUGCAGCAGCUACCCCACUACCCUAAGCCUGCAUGAAACACCCAAAGCCAUGGGGAUGGGGAUGGGUGGAGGUGUGAGGGGAGAAGAGAAGGGAUGAAAGCUGCCGGCUCUUGGUGUUGUCAUGCAGAAGUGACAAAGGCAGAGCUGGUGAUGGAGAGGUAAAAUUGCUGUGACCAGCAGGAACGGGAGAAGUUGUGUGGAAUGUGGGGCAGAAUCUGUUACUGGGCCAGAACACGGGAAGCAGAUUCCACGAAAGCAAAUGGAAGUCACAACUGCACAGAGGAAGGAUUUGGGCCAUUUUUGUUACAAUUUGAAGAAAAGUCAGAUAUAAUCUACCAGCAACAAGAUGCUGUGGUAUGUUUAACAACACAUCAACCCAACACCAAGUGCUGCCCAUGACUAAAUCCUACAAACGUUUGCUGUAACAAGAACUCCCCUUGUGUUUUUGGCAUGUUGUGCUCAUGGUUGGAUAGUCUGUCUGUGCAUGGUCAGAGUUCUACGUUCAAAUUUAUUUUAAAGUGAUGGGUUUUUGUCUUGUGCUUUACUUCCCUAACACUUUUUGGUGCUAUCUCUUACUUUCUUGGGAGGGACAUAUUAGGAAAUGCCAUAAACAUAUGUUCCUACCAUUUUAAUAAAUGAGAGAUCAGUGUUACGUACCGACA